GCCUCCGUAGCUCAUUGGAAGAGCAUCCGCCUCUUAAGCGGACGGCGAGGAUUCGAAUCCCUCCGGAGGUA
rnacentral:tRNA from 1 species